CAGUAACGGCGAGUGAAGCGGCAACAGCUCAAAUUUGAAAUCUGGCCCCCCGCGGGCCCGAGUUGUACUUUGGAGAGGACGCUUCUGGCGCGGCGCCGUCCGAGUUCCCUGGAACGGGACGCCGGAGAGGGUGAGAGCCCCGUACGGGCGGCCGCCUAGCCUCUGCGAAGCUCCUUCGACGAGUCGAGUAGUUUGGGAAUGCUGCUCAAAAUGGGAGGUAAAUUUCUUCUAAAGCUAAAUACCGGCCAGAGACCGAUAGCGCACAAGUAGAGUGAUCGAAAGAUGAAAAGCACUUUGAAAAGAGGGUCAAACAGUACGUGAAAUUGUUGAAAGGGAAGCGCCUGUGGCCAGACUUGCGCCCCGCGGACCACCCGGCGCCUCGCGCGCCGGGGCACGCCAGCGGGGCGCAGGCCAGCAUCGGCUCUCUCGGGGGGACAAAGGCCGCGGGAACGUAGCGCCCUCGCGGCGUAUUAUAGCCCGCGGCGCCAUGCCCCCGGGGGGGCCGAGGACCGCGCUCCGGCAAGGAUGCUGGCGUAAUGGCCACCGGCGACCCGUCUUGAAACACGGACCAAGGAGUCAAGCAUUGGGGCGAGUGUCUGGGUGGCAAGCCCGCACGCGGAAUGAAAGUGAACGCAGGUGGGAGCUUCGGCGCACCACCGACCGAUCCUGAUGUCCUCGGAUGGAUUUGAGUAGGAGCCCCGCCGCUUGGACCCGAAAGAUGGUGAACUAUGCCUGUAUAGGGUGAAGCCAGAGGAAACUCUGUGGAGGCCCGCAGCGGUUCUGACGUGCAAAUCGAUCGUCAAAUAUGGGCAUGGGGGCGAAA
rnacentral:rRNA from 1 species